GUAGGUGAACCUGCGGAAGGAUCAUUACCGAGUGCGGGUCUUUAUGGCCCAACCUCCCACCCGUGACUAUUGUACCUUGUUGCUUCGGCGGGCCCGCCAGCGUUGCUGGCCGCCGGGGGGCGACUCGCCCCCGGGCCCGUGCCCGCCGGAGACCCCAACAUGAACCCUGUUCUGAAAGCUUGCAGUCUGAGUGUGAUUCUUUGCAAUCAGUUAAAACUUUCAACAAUGGAUCUCUUGGUUCCGGCAUCGAUGAAGAACGCAGCGAAAUGCGAUAACUAAUGUGAAUUGCAGAAUUCAGUGAAUCAUCGAGUCUUUGAACGCACAUUGCGCCCCCUGGUAUUCCGGGGGGCAUGCCUGUCCGAGCGUCAUUGCUGCCCUCAAGCCCGGCUUGUGUGUUGGGCCCUCGUCCCCCGGCUCCCGGGGGACGGGCCCGAAAGGCAGCGGCGGCACCGCGUCCGGUCCUCGAGCGUAUGGGGCUUCGUCUUCCGCUCCGUAGGCCCGGCCGGCGCCCGCCGACGCAUUUAUUUGCAACUUGUUUUUUUCCAGGUUGACCUCGGAUCAGGUAGGGAUACCCGCUGAACUUAAGCAUAUCAAUAAGCGGAGGAAAAGAAACCAACCGGGAUUGCCUCAGUAACUGC
rnacentral:rRNA from 1 species